rnacentral:lncRNA from 1 species
GGUCCAUGGAAGUACUUGAGAAAAAUAAAAGAGCCAAUAAUGCCUUAAGUCUGUUUUGGUCAAUUGAGAAAGCAGAGGACCAUAAGAAAUUUGUUAUCUCCACCACCCAUUACUUCCUUGGAAGUUUGAAUCCUCCAAGAUUCUCCGCCCACUAGGAUCAUGUUAACAAAGGCUACUUCCUACUAUAAAUACAGAACAUCUUCCUUCUUACAAACCGAAGAGAGUAACAUUUGUACUUUCUUCAUCUCAUUACCUAAAGCCUUGUGCUUAAUUUUUUUUCUUGUCAAAGAAGAGUCAUGGGAGGCAACAACAGGCAGAAAAAAUCCUCCUUCUCAUUCUUCAGCUUGUUCAAAUCGAGGAGGCCUCACAGAGGAGAUGACAUGGGGGAGGAUUUGAAUAUGAGUGCAAGAAAGGUGUGGCCUAGUGAGGAGGACAGAGGCGGGUGGGUAGCUGAGCCCGGCAUCGACAACAAAGCUACUGCUUUCAUUGACAGAAUCCACAAGAGCAUUUUCUCAGAAUCUGAUUGCCAAACCUUAACUGUAAACCCUGCUGGAAAGUCCUAAGAAGGAGCUUUGCCUCUCUGCAUUUAUUAGUGUAUCAUAAUGUUAUUUUUUUCAAAUAAGUUGUAUCUAGUUUAGUUUGUGAAUCACUACAAUAAAUA